rnacentral:rRNA from 1 species
AGCGUUGUCCGGAUUUACUGGGCGUAAAGCGAGCGCAGGCGGUUCCUUAAGUCUGAUGUGAAAGCCCACGGCUUAACCGUGGAAGGUCAUUGGAAACUGGGGAACUUGGGUGCAGAAGAGGAGAGUGGAAUUCCAUGUGUAGCGGUGAAAUGCGUAGAUAUAUGGAGGAACACCAGUGGCGAAGGCGACUCUCUGGUCUGUAACUGACGCUGAGGCUCGAAAGCGUGGGGAGC